UACGGAGGGUGCAAGCGUUAUCCGGAUUCACUGGGUUUAAAGGGUGCGUAGGUGGGCAGGUAAGUCAGUGGUGAAAUCUUUGGGCUUAACCCGAAAACUGCCAUUGAUACUAUUUGUCUUGAAUAUUGUGGAGGUCAGCGGAAUAUGUCAUGUAGCGGUGAAAUGCUUAGAUAUGACAUAGAACACCAAUUGCGAAGGCAGCUGGCUACACAUAUAUUGACACUGAUGCACGGAAAAGCGUGGGGAUCAAACAGG
rnacentral:rRNA from 1 species